AACGAACGCUGGCGGCAUGCCUAACACAUGCAAGUCGAACGAAGUCUUCGGACUUAGUGGCGCACGGGUGCGUAACGCGUGGGAAUCUGCCCUUGGGUACGGAAUAACUCAGAGAAAUUUGUGCUAAUACCGUAUAAUGUCUUCGGACCAAAGAUUUACCGCCCAAGGAUGAGCCCGCGUAAGAUUAGCUAGUUGGUGGGGUAAAAGCCUACCAAGGCGACGAUCUUUAGCUGGUCUGAGAGGAUGAUCAGCCACACUGGGACUGAGACACGGCCCAGACUCCUACGGGAGGCAGCAGUGGGGAAUAUUGGACAAUGGGCGAAAGCCUGAUCCAGCAAUGCCGCGUGAGUGAUGAAGGCCUUAGGGUUGUAAAGCUCUUUUACCAGGGAUGAUAAUGACAGUACCUGGAGAAUAAGCUCCGGCUAACUCCGUGCCAGCCGCCGCAGUAAUAC
rnacentral:rRNA from 1 species